UAAGGGAUAUUGGUCAAUGGGCGGGAGCCUGAACCAGCCAUGCCGCGUGAGGGAAUGAGGCCCUACGGGUCGUAAACCUCUUUUGCCGGGGGAUAACGGGCGCCACGCGUGGCGCCGUGAAGGUACCCGGAGAAUAAGCAUCGGCUAACUCCGUGCCAGCAGCCGCGGUAAUACGGAGGAUGCGAGCGUUAUCCGGAUUUAUUGGGUUUAAAGGGUGCGCAGGCGGGCGUCUAAGUCAGCGGUGAAAUGGUGUGGCUCAACCAUAGCAUUGCCGUUGAAACUGAUACCCUUGAGUGCAGUAGAGGUAUGCGGAAUGUGUUGUGUAGCGGUGAAAUGCAUAGAUAUGACACAGAACACCGAUUGCGAAGGCAGCAUACUGGACUGUAACUGACGCUGAAGCACGAAAGCGUGGGGAUCGAACAGGAUUAGAUACCCUGGUAGU
rnacentral:rRNA from 1 species